AACGCAUAUUGCGCCCUUUGGUAUUCCGAAGGGCAUGCCUGUUCGAGCGUCAUUAUCAACCCUCAAGCUUAGCUUGUUGUUGGAUAUGUUAUUAUCUCAAUAACUAUCCCAAAGACAACGGCGGCGUCUUUUGACCCUUGAUGCAUUGAGCUUUCUAUAAGCACGCGUCUAAAGUGGUUGAUUCAUGCUAGACCUUUCUAUAUUUUUCUAAGGUUGACCUCGGAUCAGGUAGGAAUACCCGCUGAACUUAA
rnacentral:misc_RNA from 1 species